GGGGAGGGGGGCUACCCUCAAUAGCGUGCAAGUCGAGCGGACAGAAGGGAGCUUGCUCCCGGAUGUUAGCAGGCGGACGGGUGAGUAACACGUGGGUAACCUGCCUGUAAGACUGGGAUAACUCCGGGAAACCGGAGCUAAUACCGGAUAGUUCCUUGAACCGCAUGGUUCAAGGAUGAAAGACGGUUUCGGCUGUCACUUACAGAUGGACCCGCGGCGCAUUAGCUAGUUGGUGAGGUAACGGCUCACCAAGGCGACGAUGCGUAGCCGACCUGAGAGGGUGAUCGGCCACACUGGGACUGAGACACGGCCCAGACUCCUACGGGAGGCAGCAGUAGGGAAUCUUCCGCAAUGGACGAAAGUCUGACGGAGCAACGCCGCGUGAGUGAUGAAGGUUUUCGGAUCGUAAAGCUCUGUUGUUAGGGAAGAACAAGUGCAAGAGUAACUGCUUGCACCUUGACGGUACCUAACCAGAAAGCCACGGCUAACUACGUGCCAGCAGCCGCGGUAAUACGUAGGUGGCAAGCGUUGUCCGGAAUUAUUGGGCGUAAAGGGCUCGCAGGCGGUUUCUUAAGUCUGAUGUGAAAGCCCCCGGCUCAACCGGGGAGGGUCAUUGGAAACUGGGAAACUUGAGUGCAGAAGAGGAGAGUGGAAUUCCACGUGUAGCGGUGAAAUGCGUAGAGAUGUGGAGGAACACCAGUGGCGAAGGCGACUCUCUGGUCUGUAACUGACGCUGAGGAGCGAAAGCGUGGGGAGCGAACAGGAUUAGAUACCCUGGUAGUCCACGCCGUAAACGAUGA
rnacentral:rRNA from 1 species